ensembl:lncRNA
UGUCUCCACACACGCGCCACCCUAAAAGUUACCUCAUCGUCUUACCUGAAAAGACAGCGGUGCAGGUUGGAAUGUGGGAAGCUUGCGUGGCCAGUUGGAGAGCUACGAGUAGCCGAGAAUAGAGAAUAGGUGAUUAUGUGUAAAUGUCCUCUUUGUCCGUCACGUUAGGUCUCUGCGCACAUACGUGUGUGUGUAAUCCUUUUAGCCGCAUGCCAAAUGUCAAUCAUAUAUCCGCGUGGUGUGUAAACACCAACAUCCCAUCGUGUUUGUUCUGGACUCGGCCCAGCGACCUGUGUGUGUGUGUGUGUCUGUGUGUGUGUGUGUGUGUGUUACCAGGGUGUGACUCUUCAUUCCGUGCUCGUCCAUCAGUGCGGAUCUUAAUUGGCCGUCUGACUGACACUAAAUCUCAGGGAAGGGAAACGAGCGCUCGCCUGUCGCGUUUCAUCGACUUCAUCUGUCUUUUUAUUUGAAAGGUUUUCAAAAUCCGAUGAUGAGAUAAGAUUGUAUCUGAUUUUCAGAUACGAUGAACUAAAAGAGACUGAUUAUAUAUAAGUCGGCAGCAGAGGCCGAUAAAAUAAGUAUUUAUUCUUCCAUUUAUCACAAUAAGGUUUUGCAUUUUACGAUGCUCUGCCUGAAUAAGGUGCAUUAUUGUGUCAUGACUUAUUUCCAUCCAUAUUUUGCUCAUCCAUGAAUGUGUGUUUAUUAUCCACUGGUAGAUACGUAUUUACAUCCUUUACUGCAGUACAAGUACUAAUGCCACGCUGCGAAAAUACUUCACUGUAACUAAAAGUGUAGCAUUCAAAUGACGUGAAAACCUGAAGUCUGAAGAGCAGCUACGUGAAACUCUUCAAGUACCUUGAACAUAAAAAGAGGACUUGAGGUCUUUCUUUGAGCAUCCAGAACGUCCCUUUCUGGAUACAAAUGCUCACAUGAGGAUGUGAUGAGCAGAACAUCCUCACAUCUGUGGACGUGUGUGCGUCGCGCCGUGUCUUUAUGUAACUUGUGUGUGUAUUUCAAGCGCCGGUGUGCGCUCGUGUCUCAGCCAACUCCGUGCCGUCGGCAUCACAGAUGGGCGAGCGACUUGAUACCCUUCUUAACUCAAGACGUGUCGGAGAGAGAGAACAAAAAGAACAACAGAGCAGGAGAGAAAGUGAGGGUGUGUGUGUGUGUGUGUGUGUGUGUGUGUGUGUGUGUGUGUGUGUGUGUGAAAGGGAAAGCAGACAUCAGUUAAGAUAGAAGCGAAACCGUUUUACUUCUCGAUGAAUAUUGCAGAAGCAGCACCCUCGGGUGUCACAAGGGACAGACUGGAAGUGUGUGUGCAGUGUGUGCGUCUGUGUGUGUGUGUGUGCAUGUGGCGGCGGGGGCGGGGAAAGUGAAGGCAAAGCAAUGCCCUCGGCCGUUGGAGGUGAGAAAAGAUAAUCCUGAAUUAAAUGAUCUAGCACUUUACAAAAUACACGACAAUUACACAGAUAAUUAUACUCAGACUUCACACAGAGCCCAUGGGUCACAAUUAACACACAGUCACGCACACAGUCACACACACACACACCUACCGCUGAGAUGAAGUGUGUGUAUGUGUGUGCUGAUUGGUCUCAUGUAUAAUUCACACUGUUAAUAUGCGCAUGGAAAUAUAUAAAGUUUACACAAAAGGGCCGACAGCAAAGACGUGUUGGGAGAGGAGGAGGCUCACC